UCUAUCUAUCUAUAUGAUAUAUAUAUAUAUAUAUAUAUAUAGAGAGAGAGAGAUAAUAUAUUAUAUUUGCAAAUGUAGUAAUAGAAAUUAUUAGUAAGAGUUUUGCAAUGACACGUAGAAAGAAAUGAUUUGUUCCAAAGAUCUGAAUCUCAAUGUAGUCACAGUUAUGAAAUAUGAAAUUGUUUGUUUACAUUUCUUCCAGGUAUAUUCAGGUUAAGCAUGAGAUGCUUCCAUUUAAUUUGACAUUAACAGAAAACAUCUUUCAUCAUUAAAAUGUUGUGCAAAUCUGUAAUAUUUCCACUAGGCAGUAUUUUUUCAUCAGAGCGUCUUUGGGGUUUUUUAUUGAGUUUGAAAAGAACAUAAAUGAACAACAUGACAUUUUGUCACUUGACAAAAUGUCAUGUUUACUGGUUUACUGUGUGGUGUCUUUUAUAACUUUGUAUUUUUGUGUUUUAUGAUGUAAAGCACUUUAAACUGUGUUGUUGCCAAAAUGUUCUACACAAAUAAACUUGAUUGAUUUUCAUAUCACAAGACUGAAACUAUUUCGUUUAUUGCAGGACUUUGAUCCUGUUGCUCAUUCGCUCUUCGGUGAGCUGAACUGAACUGAACUGUCUUCGUCGUGAACACUAAGAAUCGGAUCAUCCUGUUGCAUUUUGUUGCAUUUCCUAUUUCCUGCUGUCUCCAGUUCUUCUGCUGAUAAUACUGCACCUGACAUGACCCAGAGCAGCAAUCUGAAAUGGGCUUUUAUAGGAGGUGUCGUUGGAAUGGCUAUCGGUGUUUUAAUAUCCAGUGUUUUAGUCUGGAUAUACAAAUGUAAGAAGUCGAGGCAUUCUUCAUACACUGAGCAAGGAUGUGAUGAAGAAGAGCCGCUUCUUCCCACCAGGAACAACUGGAGAAGAGGAAAUAGACAAGUUCCUGAAUCUGAGACUGAAAAUGAGACAACCAGCAUCAAGUCGAAGCAGUCCAGGCACAAAGAUGGAGGGGGAAGAUGGGAUGAGAGAGAGUCGCUUCUUUCCACCCUGAAUGAAGUGAAAACUGAACUGGAGAACCAGAAACAUCAACUAGCAGAACAACUCAGAGAAGUCGAGUCUGAAAUGAAGAAAAACAAAGAAGAUCUUCAAUCAGUGGAAACCAAAAUAACAGACAGACAAAGCCAUGAUGACACAGAGUCAUUGUUAAAGGAAAAAGAAAAACUGCUACAGACCCAGUGGAAAUUAGAUGAGAAAAAGAAAACCAUUGAACGACAAACAUUAAACAUAGAGAAAGCUCUGGAACCUGUAGAGAACAUAAAUUAGUGUCCUUAGAUUUUACACAGUAACCAACUCAACUAAUUAAGUUGAGUAAAAACACAACUUAGUUUUACACAUUAGAGAACCAGCAGGUGAUAGGGAAUUGAUACUUUUUACCAUUUAUUUAUUGACAUAUCUGCUGUUUUUAUACUUCUGCAAAAUGUGAUUUCCUGUUAAAGACGUUUCCAGACAAUGUGCUUUCAGCUGUCUACAAGGACCGGUGACAUCCUGUGUAAAUGUCAAACGCAGCUUUCUUAAAGAGUUACCAUAUAUGGAAUGCAUUUUCCUGUACUUGUUUUUGGUGUUGAAUUAUCAUUAUGACGACAUGCCUAUGCUUAGAAGUGAAUAAAUAUAGAAGGGUUGCAAGACCCUGUUGGAGUUAGCUUGUCUGACUUAGCUAAGUCUGACAAGCUUCUCCCCUUCCUGCAGAAAGACAAGUUUUUGUGUCCUUGUGAUUCUUUCAGAGUUUAUUUGAAGAAUAAACCUAACAGCAGAUGUUUAGUAGCUGAAAAGUAAAGUCUUAGCCUUCAGGAGAUCCUGCUGACUAUUCCACAGAUGGGACCCAUAAGAGAAGAAAAGGCCUCACUGUUUGUUGUGACUCUUGGAAAUGAUGACAGAUCGGUGCUGAAGGGCUGCAGGUGUUAAAAGCAGCUCUGUACUGUAAGACCACAGGGCCCAUUUCAAAAGCAUUUAUUCUGAAACAUGUCAGUAAUUAAAGCUUAAAAUUACUACAUUUGUACAUUUAAGAAAAUGCAUUAGAUUAAUAAAACUGUGUUUAUGUGUAAUGUUGCUUUUACAUAUAAGUGCACAAAUAUGUCUGACGAGAUGUAAGAAAUGUUAGAAAACAUGAUUGUAUUAGAAGUUUUGUGGGGAAAAAGGUAAUUCUAUUCUCAUUUCUAUGUUUUUUAAAUGAAACAUUUAGAGAUUGGUAGAUUUAAUCUCCGCAAUCAUGGCUGAACUCAAAAUGUUUCUUUAAAACGUGUCAUAAACUCUAAAUCCUGAGACAUGACUGGCCUUUCAUUCAUCCUGUCUCUGAUGUUGGAUGAUGUUACAGAGGACUGCGGCCAAUUUAACAAAACUCCAAGUCUCAGAGCAGAAAGCUGAUUACUGUGGUUCUUAUGUUAAAUCAGUCUUUUAUGUCCAAAAUUUGCUAUAUUAUCAUUUUAUUUCACAAACUUGUGUUAAAAAGAUCUUUGAAUUAUUACCAAAA